GACGUAGGGCGCGAGCGUUGUCCGGAUUUAUUGGGCGUAAAGAGCUCGUAGGCGGUGUGUCGCGUCGGCCGUGAAAACCUGGGGCUUAACUCUGGGCGUGCGGUCGAUACGGGCAUCACUGGAGUUCGGCAGGGGAGACUGGAAUUCCUGGUGUAGCGGUGAAAUGCGCAGAGAUCAGGAAGAACACCCGUGGCGCAAGCGCCCAUCUGGCCAUGACCUGACGCUGUGGCACGAAAGCGUGGGGAGCGAACCGG
rnacentral:rRNA from 1 species